UACGAAGGGUGCAAGCGUUAAUCGGAAUUACUGGGCGUAAAGGGUGCGUAGGCGGCUCAGAAAGUUGGGUGUGAAAUCCCCCGGCUCAACCGGGGAACUGCGCUCAAAACUACUGAGCUUGAGGGAGAUAGAGGUGAGCGGAACUGAUGGUGGAGCGGUGAAAUGCGUUGAUAUCAUCAGGAACACCGGAGGCGAAGGCGGCUCACUGGGUCUUACCUGACGCUGAGGAACGAAAGCUAGGGGAGCGAACGGG
rnacentral:rRNA from 1 species